CCGCCUGAGUCCCUGGAAGGAGGAGGGCCAGGACAUCCUGGAUUUCUUCAGGCCGGGCCGGUGGCCGGUCUCCACGGCGUAGGAGGUGCGGUCCAUGGCGCGGCAGUACAGGAAUUGUUAGCUCCAGACGCAGAAAAAGCAGCGGUGGUAGUGAGAGCAGCCUAGUGGGUCCAGAGCGCCUGAACCCUGAGACCGGAGCAGCUGAAAAGUUGGACAGCUCCUGACUGAUGCAAGUGGGACUAAUGGCAGUGUCCAAAGAAUGCCUAGGAAGGCAUCAAGCUGGUAUCUUUCCAAACAAGAAAGGAAAUAAAAGGAAGUAUUAUGCAGUGUAAAUCAGGUUUUUUUUCAAUUCACUGCAUUAUUAAUAGUUGGAACCAUUUCAAAGAAGUAUACAAAUUUCUUUUUUCCUCUGAAAUCGUUGCCACUUUUUCUGCUCAAUAGAGCUAUGUCAGGAUAUCUAUCUGAAACUUAUUCUUGCUUCUCAAACAGUAACAAUACAGUUUGUGAUCUUCUUUCCAGAAUAAAUGGAAUCAUUUAAACCUAA